rnacentral:rRNA from 1 species
GUUUGAUCAUGGCUCAGAUUGAACGCUGGCGGUAUGCUUAACACAUGCAAGUCGAACGGUAGCAGGCCUUCGGGCGCUGACGAGUGGCGGACGGGUGAGUAACGCGUAGGAAUCUGCCUCAUAGUGGGGGACAACGUGGGGAAACUCACGCUAAUACCGCAUACGCCCUACGGGGAAAGGACGGGGGGAGUCUUUCGGACCUCGCGCUAUGAGAUGAGCCUGCGUUAGAUUAGCUAGUUGGUAGGGUAAAGGCCUACCAAGGCGACGAUCUAUAGCUGGUCUGAGAGGACGAUCAGCCACACUGGGACUGAGACACGGCCCAGACUCCUACGGGAGGCAGCAGUGGGGAAUAUUGGACAAUGGGCGCAAGCCUGAUCCAGCAAUACCGCGUGUGUGAAGAAGGCCUUAGGGUUGUAAAGCACUUUCAA